rnacentral:tRNA from 1 species
CAGGGAGACAACAAAUUGAUUGUGAUGUCUAAGUUAUUUAUUCUUAGGCCACAGUCCUGUCACCUUAAGGUCGAUCGGUACCUCAGGUUUUGAAUUAGUUUUAUAAUUAGUUCUUUGAUUUCAGUUCCUAAACUUGUCUAGGUCACACCCAACAAAGGUUUCUCCUGGGCCAUUAGCUCAGGUGGUUAGAGCGCACCCCUGAUAAGGGUGAGGUCCCUGGUUCAAGUCCAGGAUGGCCCAUUCGUUGUUGGGGGUAUAGCUCAGUUGGUAGAGCGCCUGCUUUGCAAGCAGGAUGUCAGCGGUUCGAGUCCGCUUACCUCCACUGAUAACUAUCCUGAUAACUAAAAUUCUGGAGAAAAAUUUAUAGAUGUGGCUUAGAAUUGUCUAUUUGAAAAGAUCCUAGCUUCUUAUCAUCUUUGUAUAGUUGAUAACAUGCUGGGCUCGCAUGGAUUUAUUCCAUGAGAAUUCAGUAGAACCUUGAAAACUGCAUAGAUUAGAAAGAAUAAAGCAUCUCAUGGAUGCAUAAUUCUGUUUCUAUAAUUCAGCCUUAAAACUGAAUUAUGGAUACUUGAAUUCAUGUUUAAUUCUUGAGUAAUAGCCGAGCACAAUUGAUUUUGUGAUUGUAUUAA